rnacentral:lncRNA from 1 species
GUGGCCGAUGAUAGGGAGAGACGGGGGACUGGGGGGUAAGUUUGUACGGCGGGUGCGGAGGUUGAAAGCGAAGAGGAGAGAGAUAAGGGAGAGAAAUAGGUAAAGGAGAGAGUAAAUUUGCAUGGCGUUUUUGUUGAAAAAAGUAAUAUUUAAAUUUGGAGUUGGGGAGUGAAGAUGAAGAGGUGGCUACUAGGGGUGAGGUAUUUAUAGAGAUUGAAGCCACCAGAAUGACCUUGGCAGUGUGCUGUAAUAACAUACAUUAUGAAGUCCAUUUUAUGUACGAGUUUCAAUUGAAAUCCAAAAUUUCUAUGCAUGUAAAUCCAUCUUGAGUAGAGACAAAACUAUAUAUUAAUCUUUUUCCACGUUGACAAAGUAUCUGCUGAAGAUACUCAACCCCUUUUUGGCUUCUCUCUCUUCUUUCCUUUUAUCUAUUAUAAUCAUCAUAAUCGAAGGAAAAUGCAUGACUGACAUGUGUAGAGUUUAAUGAUCCUUCAAUUGCCAUAUGUAUCAACAGUUAUGAGAUUUUCAAUUUUAAUAAUACUCUCUAGUUCUUCCUAUUCUUAAAAGAGACUACGAUUGCUUUUGUGGUUGAAAAUUAGACUCAUCAUGUCUCACAUAUAUUCUACUAAAAAUGUGAUUAUUUUUAAAUAUUUAAAGAAUUUACAUAAUAAUCAUGACAUAUUGUAGUGCAUCAAUGCUUUUUUAUUGGUACAUAAUUUCAAAGUUUCAAAUUUCUUGUUUUUACUUUCUUUUUUUUUUUAACGAAUAACAAAUUUGACCUGAAAUUAAAAUUUUAAUCAAUGUUUUCUAAUAAGACGUGUCAACUCUAGCUUAUAUCAAAUAAUUGAAAGAUGUAUAUAUUAUGGACUAAAAUAUUAGAGAUUUAAAUCUUUUCACAUUACUGUUUUCAAAAACCGCAUCAACAAAAUGUAUUCAUAAAGUGCAACUAAAUAUUGUGUUCUGAAAAUUCCCACAACAAAUUUAUAGAAGUAUUACAACAAGAUUGGAAUCAAAUAAUAAAAUAUAUAAUUUCUUUGAUCACAUCUAAAUUAUAUGGAAUGAAUAUAGUUAUUAGACUCUUACUAGUAUCAAUUUAAAUUUUAAACUUACAUUCUACUUAAAUACAUUUGAGAAAGUUGAAAGUCUAAAUUGAUAUAAUAAUGAGUUUAGGGUUUAAAUUGGUAUUGAUAUAUAAUUGCCAUAAAUUUUAUAAAUCUUUGAAUUGAUUAGACCUAAACUUCUCAGUUGGACAACAAAUAGAGAACUGUUCAGUACCGAUUUAAACUUUAUAAGAUAGACGAUGUGAUUUGUUAGGUAUUGUUAUAAUCCAAAUAUUUAAAACUGAAAAGUAAGUUUGCCCAAGCUUCCCAUGUUAAUUAGAGUCUAAUGGGAGUAAACUUACCUGACUUAUAAAUAUUAUUUAAAAAUGUUUACCCAUUAGCAUGAUUUUAAAAUUUUAUAUGUAUUAUAUUAUUUUAGAUUAAUAAUUUUUUUAUUAUUCGUAAGUGUUUAUUGUUUCAUUCUAAAAUUUAAAUAAUUUACACUUUAAACACGUGUUAUUAUAAUCAAAACUAAAAUAGUUUACAUUUCAAACACAUAAUAUUAUAACUAAAAUUAAAAUAAUUUACUAUUCAAAUACAUAUUAUUAUAAUAAAAACUAAUAAUAUAUUAUUGGAUCGUUAUAAUGGUUACAAUACUCUAUAAUAACUUAGGAACAUAAUAACCAACUUAUAUAUAUUGAUAUAGAUUCAUAUGAUUAGGUAUUUAGGAAUUGUUAAACAUGGAAGUAAAGUUGAAAUGAAAUUAUGACUUAUGGAAAAACAAAACAAAAGUAAAAAAGAGAAACAGAAUCUUCCAACCGAAUAAAUGGAAAAAUGGGACAAAAUUUCAAAUAAACCUAAAAAAAAAUGGGGAAUACAUAAAACAAAUGCAGUAUUGAUGAGAAAUGAGAGGAUGUAAUGUAAGGGGUAGAAAAGGCAAAAUAAGUGUAAAAUGAGUUAGACCAUAUAUUUCUAAACUUUUGCUACAAAUAAUAGGUAAUAUAUAUAUGCAUCAUUAUUCAAAUUAAAUCUCAAUUACCUAAUGCUAUGAUACAACAAAUCAACCAUACAUCAACAAGCCUCCUUGAAGAUAUAUAUAUAUAUAUAUAUAUAUAUAUAUAUAUAUAUAUAUAUAUAUAUAUAUAUAUAUAUAUAUAUAUAUAUAUAUAUAUAUAUAUUGUGAAUUAUUAAAUAUAAACAAUACCUUUAAAUUAAUAAUCCAAUCAUUUUUCAGUUAAAAAUGUUGUGGACGAUAGGACGAGCUUUGCACAUAGCUUCCAAUGGCACCACCUUGGGCAUAGUGACGCCUCUUCCUUCCGUCAUGUCCACUUUCUCUUCCCCAAUCCUCUCCCACUCGUAGCAUUGAAUCAGAGUCGCUAGAGUCAGUCCCACCACUCGUUGAGCCAUGCUGGAGCCGGGGCAAGCUCGUCGUCCGACUCCAAAUGGAAUCAUCUUUGGGAUUUGAUGAUGGUCACUUGAUUCUAAGUUUUGGUGUCUUUCUGGCUUGAAUAAUGUGGGCUCUUCCCAUUGACUAGGGUCUCUGUGGAUAGCCCAUGCAUUAACCAAUACAAUCGUAUCACGUGGUAUUUCGUACUCACUGAUUGUACAAUUGUUGGAUGUUAGAUGUGGCACUAGCAUUGGAGCAGCUGGGUUCAAUCGAAGAGUCUCAUAAAUGAUUCCUUGAAGAUAUGGUAACUUAGAGACGUCUAAUUCUUCUGCUAGUUGUUUUUCUCCAAUUUGAUUGUCCAACUCUUCUCUAGCCUUUUUUAGUACCUCUGGAUUGUUGAGCAAGUGAGCUAAAGCCCAUUCAAUUGUCACAGCUGAUGUGUCUGUUCCAGCUAGUAGUAACACCUGUACGCUUAUUUUUGUUUAGAGUUUGAUAUAAUACACACAAAACAGAUAUCACAAAACAAAAACAAAUCCUACCAAGUCAAUAAUUAGGACUAAAUAUGGAAAAAUUAGUAAAAAAAAAUCUAAACAAUGUUAUUUCAAAGCAAACACUCUUUCAUGUUACUCCUAACCCUAAAGCUUGUAAGCCAUAAUUAAAUAUGAAAAUUAAUUAAUGGUAAUUUUCUCUCUACAAUAUGGCCAAGUGCUUCCCCAACGUCAAAGGUGCGUGACUUUUUCUUUUUUCACUCAAAGCAAACAGUUUGUGCAUGAAAAUAUUAGAGCAUUUUUCUAUCUUUGCCCCAAAAUGCUUUUAAAAAUAGUUUGAGGGGAAAUGCUAAAUGUAGAGGAGAGACGAUAGGGGUCCCCCAGGCCGCAAGGCCACCACUUUGAAUCUUCGUUGCCAUUCUGUCCUAUUAUAUGUUCUUAUAUAUAUUUCGGGGAUUACCCAAAAGAGAUGGAUAAAGAGCAAAAUUCUUGAGAAUAAUGGCAAUGAAGAUUGAAAAUGAGUGAGAAAUUAUGGAGAUUAAUUACCAGAACAAUUCCUUUGAUUAUUUCAUCUCCAUAGUACUCAGGCUCCGUUUCCUGCAGAGAUAGCAAAUGAUCGAUCAUUGUGUUCCUUUCCUCUUCCUUAUUGCUCCGAUGUUCAUCAAUCAAUCCCUGCAAAAACCUGUCCAUCCUUUUCCCAAGUCUCGAAACCUUCCUCUUAUAUCCAUUCGGGACCCAAUUCAUCAUCGGAAUGAAAUCUCCCGGAUUCGAUACUCCUCCCAUCGACACAAUCUGUUUAAUCAGCUCUCUCGACUGUCUCGCUUCCUCCACAUCCCUCACUUCAUCACCGAAAUACCUCUUUCCGGCCGCCAUUCUCAUCGAUAUGUUAAACGUGAGUUCCGAAAUCGACGAUUGCAUCUCUACUUUCGAGUAUCCAUGCAUCGAAUUCCUCGAUAGCUUCUUCAGUAACCGUUCCACUUCAUCCUUCCGGGUUCCUGCGAAUUUAUUGAGGCGAGACGCUGAAAAGAUCUCGAUGGCUCCGAUUCGGCGGAGGUUCCGCCAGUGGUCUCCGUAAGGUGACCCUACCAUCGUAGUGUGGUUGUAGCCGAUGUGUUUUCCGAAUAGCAACCGAGGACGGUUGGCUAAAACGAUGUCGUUCUUAGUGAAGCACUCCUCCACUGCUGGCAAUGACGAGACGACCACAACGAGGCGAGAUCCAAACCGGAGAGAGAUUAAUGGUCCGUAUUUUGCAGAGAGUUUGUGUAAAGUUCGGUGGAGGGGGAUUUUGAUAUAAUGGAGGUGGCCGAUGAUGGGGAGAGACGGAGGACUGGGGGGUAAGUUUGUAGGGCGGGUGCGGAGGUUGAAGGCGAAGAGGAGAGAGAUAAUAGAGAGAAAUAGGUAAAGGAGAGAGCAACAUUCCAUGGCGUUUUUGUUAAAGAAGAAGUAUGUUUAAAUUUGGAGUUGGGGAGUGAAGAUGAAGAUAUGGGUACAUGGGUGAGGUAUUUAUGGUAUUGAAGCCACGACAACGACAUUGUGUAAUCACAUUCAGCUAUUUUAAACUAAAUAUAAUUCCAUCAAAUAUCUUUCUUCUUCAUUUCCUUUCCCAACAUUUUCAAAUCUGUUUACUCCUCAGACCUUAGUUAUAGAAAAACCAAUAUCAUAGGUUUAAUCAAUUAUUUAUUUGGCCAACUUUUCGUAAUGUUUCUAAUGCUUUUGUUUUUGUGCACCCAUGGAAUGAAGAGUAUAAACGUCCAUUUCUUUCUUUUAUCGCUUUUUUAGUAUUAGUCAUGUCAUAUGCAAAUAUGUUUUUGUAACAUCUUUUGUGUGGAUGGAUUUGGUUUCAUUUCUUUCUUCUUCUUUUCAUUCUUUUCUUCCUGUUUUUGUUUAGUUUGUGCUUUGACAUACGUUCAAAUUUAAUACAUUUGCAAACAUAAUAUAAUAAAUAAUAAUAAUAAAAUAAUUAAAAAAAGCUUAGAGUUAGAUAUGUUUAGUUGUAAUGCUAGUUUAGCUAAAGUUUAUUUAUUCAUUUAUAAAUCUUCUCGACAUAUGUUCGUUCAAGGUUUGAUAUAUCUUUUAAAAAUAUUGAUAACUGACACUCCUCUUCUCUUUUUCAUGUCUUUUAUCCUACCUCAUAAUAGUAACUAAGGAACGGACAAAUAGACCAUAAUAUAUAUGCAUUACUAUUCAAAUUAAAUCUUAGUUACUUAAUAUUCUACCAUACAACAAAACAACCCUACAUUAACACACCUCCUUUUAAGAUAAAGAUGUCACUUUCUUUUUUUUUUUUUUUUUGUAAAUUAUUAAAUAUAAACAAUACCCUUAAACAAUCCAAUCAUUUUUCAGAAUUUUUAGUUAAAAAUGUUGUGGAUGAUAGGGCGAGGUUUGCACAUGGCUUCCAGUGGCACCAUCUUGGGCAUAGUGACGCCUCUUCCUUCCGACAUGUCCACUUUCUCGUCACCAAUCCUUUCCCACUCGUAGCAUUGAAUUAGCGCCGCCAGAGUCAACCCCACCACUCGUUGAGCCAUGCCCGAGCCGGGGCAAGCUCGUCGUCCGACUCCAAAUGGGAUCAACUUUGAAAUAUGAUGAUCAAUUGAUUCUGACUUUUGGUGUCUUUCUGGUUUGAAUAGUGUGGGUUCUUCCCAUUGAUUAGGGUCUCUAUGGAUAGCCCAUGCAUUAACCAAUACAAUCGUGUCACGUGGUAUUUUGUAUCCACUAAUUGUACAAUCAUUGGAGGUUAGAUGUGGCACUAGCAUUGGAGCAGCUGGGUUCAAUCGAAGAGUCUCGGAGAUGAUUCCUUGAAGAUAUGGUAACUUGGAGACGUCUGAUUCUUCCACUAGUCGUUUUUCUCCAAUUUGAGUGUCUAGCUCUUCUCUAGCCUUUUUUAGUACCUCCGGAUUGUUGAGCAAGUGAGCUAAAGCCCAUUCAAUUGUCACCGCUGAUGUGUCUGUUCCGGCUAGUAGUAACACCUGCACAUUUAUUUUUAUUUUGAGUUUGACAUAAUACAUACAAAAGACAUAUCAACAAAAACAAAAAUAAGUCAUAAAAAGUUAAUUAGGACUAAAUAUGAAAAAAUUAGUCACUAGAAUCUAGAUAUACCUUAUUGCAUAUACCUUCUAACAAGAACAAUAUCUAAAUAGAAGAAAAAAUAAAUAUAUAAUCAUAAGUUGAUAGUUGCUAAAAGAUAAAUUUUCCCUUUUCACUUUAAAAAUAUCUUUUAUAUUAUUCUUUUUUCACUUUGUAAUAAUUGGGUUAGAUCGUCAACACGAAUUUAGCUCAACCGACAUCUGUAUGUACCUGUGGACAAGAGAUUUCAUGUUCAAAUCUCCACCUCUGCAUUUACUACAAUACAUUUUAAAAAUAAAUUGAGGUGGAUCUAUAGAGAUGUGGGGCUACACUCUAGUGUUCCUCUUAUUUAGAUGCAUGUUGAUCAUAACUUCAGAUACCCGACCUAAGAUGGAAAAUGCUCACUUCAACCAAAAAGAAAAGAAACCUUAUAAAACAUAAUUUAAAAAGAGAGAGGAGCUUUUUGCGAUGUGUUUAGAGAAUUGGUUUGGGCAAGGGGUUGAUGCACCAAAGUGCUUUUUCUAUUCUUGAUCACUAAAUAUAAAUUAAUGGUAAUUCUAUCUCUGCAUUAAGGCCAAGUGCGUGCCUAUUAUUAUUAAUUUUAGGUGAAGACUGACUUUUUUUUCUUUCAAAGCAAACACUUGUGCAUGCUACUUUAAGUAUGAUUGAAUAAUUAGAUGUAAAAGUAUUAAGAAAUUUUUAACCACCAGUAUGAUUGAAUAAUUAGAUGUAAAUAGACAAAAGAUUAGUGUAUAUAUCUAAUUAUUUUAUUUUUCAAUAAAUUAAUUUCACCCGAUCGUAGGAGGAGAAAAUACUUCUUAAGUAAAUACUUUUAUGAAUAAGUUAUUUAAAUAAUUUAAUUAUUUUUUUAUAACGAAACAUGAAUGGAAAAUAAAAUUAAAACCAUGUAUAAAAUAAAGCAAAAAGUUUUAAAUAGACUAUAGAGACUUUUUUUUUUACUAAGUUUUUGUUUGAUUAUUUUUUAUUUUUAAUCGUAUAAUAUGCUUUUCUAUAUAUAAAUUAGUAAAUUCAAGUCAAUCGGACAAAAAAUUAAUUUGAAUUAAUUAGGUAGAAAUAUAAUAUAAGAGACUAAGUGUUUGCUCCGAAUAAAAAUUUACUUUUAUUAUAAUUGGAUAAAUGUUGUAAAUUAUAAUAAAAUUUCGAUAACUAAUUUUUAUAACAUUUUUCAACUUUCUCCUGUUUAUAAUUUUUUUUUAUUAAUAACCUUUUUUUUUUUUACUAACUUAUGAUGAUAAUUGUGGUCAACCUCCAGUACUUAUAAUUGUUUUACACUAAUUGCCGUGCCUACCUUCAAUCACAAUUUAUUAUUGAAAAGAUUCAAAUACUGAUAAAUAUUUUUUUAAUAAAAGAAAAAAUAACUCAAAAUAUUUUUUUAAUAAAAGAACCAUUAGUUUUUAAUUUAUUUUUUAUAACUUGAUAGAAAUUUAGUUAAAAAGAUGCAAAUAAAAAGAAAACAUUGAAGAGAGAGAGAAGAGGGAGGAAAUAAAAGAAAAGAAGAAAGAAAGGGAAAGAGAGCCUAAACGGCAGUUAUAAGAAAACGAGAACAAAAAGAAGAAAAUAGAGAAAUCUAGUGGUUAAAAAUAUAAUUUUAGAAAAAGUGAAAUGAAGAGACACGCGUCAAUAAAGCCAAAACAAGAACCACUAAAUUAUUUUCAAAACAGUCCCUGUACCUAAUUAUUUUUCAAAACAACCCUUGUGCCUAAUUAUUUUUCAAAACAAUCCUCCUACCUAAUUACUUUUCAAAACUGCUUUAUUUUCUUCAAAUAACCCCAGAUUUGAUGACCCACUUGAUUGGACCCAAAAAUGAAAGAAGACAGUGGUUAGAGGUCCCUCAAGCUGCAGACCACCACUUUGAAUCUUUGUUGCGAUUCUCAUAUAUUAUAUAUUUUUGUAUCCAUUUCGGGGUUUAUCCUAAAGAGAAGGAAAAAAACGCCAAAUUCUUGAGCAGGAUAAUUAUAACCGAAUGGUAAUGGAGAUUGAAAAUGUUUGUUAAACGAAGAUUGAAAGUGAGUCAGAAAUUAUGGAAAUUUAUUACCAGAAUGAUUCCUUUGAUUAUUUGAUCUCCAUAGUACUCAGGCUCCGUUUCCUGCAGAGAUAGCAAAUGAUCGAUCAUUGUGUUCCUUUCUUCUUCCUUAUUGCUCCGAUGUUCAUCAAUCAAUCCCUGCAAAAACCCGUCCAUCCUCUUCGCAAGUCUCGAAACCUUCCUCUUAUAUCCAUUCGGGAUCCAAUUCAUCAUCGGAAUGAAAUCUCCCGGAUUCGAUACUCCUCCCAUCGACACGAUCUGUUUAAUCAGCUCUCUCGACUGUCUCGCUUCCUCCACAUCCCUCACUUCCUCACCGAAAUACCUCUUUCCGGCCGCCAUCCUCAUCGAUAUGUUAAACGUCAGUUCUGAAAUCGACGAUUGCAUCUCUACUUUCGAGAAUCCAUACAUCGAAUUCCUCGAUAGCUUCUUCAGUAACCUUUCCACUUCAUCCUUCCGGGUUCCUGCGAACUUAUUGAGGCGAGACGCUGAAAAAAUCUCGAUGGCUCCGAUUCGGCGGAGGUUCCGCCAGUGGUCUCCGUAAGGUGACGCUACCAUUGUAGUGUGGUUGUAGCCGACGUGUUUGCCGACUAGCAACCGAGGACGGUUGGCUAAAACGAUAUCGUUCUUAGUGAAGCACUCCUCCACUGCCGGCAACGACGAGACGACCACAACGAGGCGAGACCCAAACCAGAGAGAGAUUACUGGUCCAUAUUUUGCAGAGAGUUUGUGUAAAGUUCGGUGGAGGGGGAUUUUGAUAUAAUGGAGGUGGCCAAUGAUGGGGAGAGACGGGGGACUGGGGGGUAAGUUUCUACGUCGGCUGCGGAGGUUGAAAGCGAAGAGAAGAGAGAUAAGAGAGAGAAAUAGGUAAAGCAGAGAAGAAAUUUCCAUGGCGUUUUUGUUAGAAGAGUAUAUUUAAAUUUGGAGUAGAGAGUGAAGAUGAAGACUCUGCUUGGGUGAAGUAUUUAUAGUGAUCGAAGCCACGACGAUGACAUUGGCAGUGUGCUGUAAUGUUUAAGAAGCUCUUUGGAUUAAAGAUUAACCGGGGCUUAUUGGACAAUAAUAACCCCUAUUUGCUUCACCCAAUAUUAUUUAAAGUCUCUUAUUAGCUACAUUAUAUAUAUAUAUAUAUUUUUUUUAUGAAACUAAAAUAGUCUAAUAUCAAAUACAUCAAUUAUAACGAUUUAUUCUAAUCAAAUUAUAAUAAUUUAUUUUUUACUACAAACACUCUAUUUAAUAUAUAUUAAAUAAUUCCAUCGAAUAUCUUUCUUUCAUUUCGUUUUUCAACAUUUUCAAAUAUUCUACUGUGUUCACUUAAUAAUUGGCUUGAAUUAAUUAAUUAUUUGGCCAAACUUUCCUAAUGUUUUUAAUGCAUGAUAUGGUUGCUAUUUUAGUACUAGUUCUAAUCCUUCCAAACUUGAGUUGUAGGUAUAUUUUGGUAUGAUCCGUUUGGUUUGGUUUAGUUUGUUUGUUCUUUUUUACUAUUUUGAUUGUGUUUUUGUAUUGUUUGUGCUUUGACUUUUGUUCAAAUUUAAUACCUUUGCAAAAAUAAUAAUAAUAAAUAAAUAAAUAAUAAAAGCUUGGAAUUGAUGAGUUUAGUUCAUGAAGAUCGUUUACCUAAAGUUUAUUUAUUCGUUUGCAAACUUUCUUUUGACAUACAAAUAUUUAUUUAAGGUUUGAUAUACCUUUAAAAAAUAUCAAGAACGAAUAACAUGUUAUGUUAGAUUAGGUUUUUUUCUUUUUCCUUUUCCUCUAUUUGACCCUAACUCAUAAUUGUAAUUAAGGAAUGGAUGAACAUUUUUGUCUACUAAAAAUCUAGAUUUGUGUGUUCCACAACUGAAAUAUAUAAUGCUCUAACUAGAACAUUAGGUGACAUUAUCUUUCCUUCAAAUUAGAAAGUUAGGAAAUUAAUUUAAAAGGACCAAAUAGUUGAGAUAAUGGUACAAUUUUUCUAUAGCUUAAUUUAAUGGCCCUUUAGACAUGCUUGUGAUAUUGCUAUAAUUAUUUGUUUACAAAUUACAUUAAAUAUAUGACUCAGCUCUUCAAUCCAAAAAUCAUGCAUCCAACAUUUUUGCAAAUUCAGUUCGUUGAAUUUAUUUAAAGCUACAAAUCAAAGAUAACUAAUCCAAAAUCCAAAAUUUCUAUGUAUGUAAAUCCAUUUUGAGUAGAGACAAAAUGAAAAACAAGAGAAUAAUUUAUAGUCCCAUUUUUAUCUAAAAUUAUGUAGAAACUCGCACACUGCCCCCACCUCCCACAUCCCCAUCCUUUUCCAUGUUGAAGAUGCUCAAUCCAUUUUUGAUCUCUCUUGUUUCCUAAUUUUAUCUAUUAAUCUUCCUAUCAAACCACAUGUAUAUCUACCUAAACAACCAAAAACUAUAGUUUAUAGUUCAAUAAUUGUCAUAUAUCCCUACUAAUUGUAAAAAAAAAAAAAACUAUAAUUAUUUUGUGGUUGAAAGUUAGAACUAUUAUGUGUCACAAAUAUAUUCGACUAAAAAUGUGAUUGUUUUUAAAUAUUUUAAAAAUAUAUACAUAAUAAUAAUUAUGAUAUGGUGGUACACAUAUAUUUUUAUUAUCGAUACAAAAACGAACUUAACACAAUUAACAUGGUUUCAUUUUAUACAUUUAAUACAACACAUUUUAUAAUAUAUAUAUGUUUGGGUUUGAUUACAAAGUUUACCUGAGUGGUUUUUGUAGGUAUUUUUAUUAAAUUGGUUUUCAUAUUAGAAAAAAUGUCUUUCCUGAAGAGUCGUCAACUUUGGCUUAUAAUUUCAAAGUUCCCAAUUUCUUGUGUACUGUUUUUUUUAUUGAAUAACAUAUUUGACAUGAAAUUAAAAAAAUUUAAUCAAUGUUUCUAAGACAUUAUAUGUCAAACUUUAGUUUUGCUCAAAUAAUUUUUUAAAAAAUGUAUAUAUUAUCAACUAAAAGAAUUAGAGAAUUGAAUAUUUUCAAUAUUGGUGUUAAAUUGUUAUCAAAAGAUCGGAUUAAACAACUCAAUAAAAUGUAUACUAAUAAGCGCAACUAAAUGCUUGUUUUGAAAAUUCACAUAAUAAAGUUAUAGGUAUCUUACAACAAGAUUGGAUUCAUAAUAAUAAAGCAUAUAAUUUUGUACAAUUCCCUAUUUUAGGUAAAGGUAUCUAUCACGUGUUAAGUUAUAUAAAUAAUCCAAACUACAUGACAGGUGGGUCUCCUUUGUAUUUAAUAAUCUUAAUUUAGUUCAUUCACAUGCUAAUAAUAGACUGAUUAAUAAUACUUUACCAAUAUCCAUAUCCAAAGGCCAGAAAGAUUGUUUUAAAUAAUUUAAAAUAUUACAAAACAUAGGUCACGUCAUCUUAAUUGAUACAGUAUUUUUUUGUAAAUACAAAUGAGUGUUUAGUUGAUUUUUUUUUAAAAAAAAUAGAACAUAGGAAAGAAGAAAAGACAAAGAAAAGUUGAGGUGAAAUUGAUGCAAUGACUUUGGGUUGAAUUAUGGGAAACAAUGGAUGAGGUGAGGAUAAAGAAAACUUGAAGGUGGGGGUUUGUCAUGAGCGUCAUGGAAUACGUAACGGGAACUUUGAUAUUUAGAUGACGCAAGCAAAUAGGUCACUUCAGGGUACUCUUCACUUUCACGGCCGGAUAUCGACAACAAACUCUAUCGUCGGCUGCUGCUACCCAUCACCUUUGCCAUUCCAUCUUCCAUUCUUUUCCUUUUAGAUCAAAUAUCAAUCAUCAAAACAUUGGACUUACCCUCAUUUAUUUCAUUCAUUAAUAAUUAUAUCAAUUUAAUUAACUUCAAGUUAAUAUUUGAUGAAUUUUUAGCUCUCUAAUUUUUAUAAGACAACUAAUUUAAAUAAUUUUAAACUUAGAAUAAAUUUAAGUAUUUUGUUAUAUGUUAGUGGGACACAUUUAUAAAAGGGAUUCUUUUAAAAAUAAAAAAUUUGACAAUUAUUUAUGUCGGGUUGAACAAAACUACUACAAGACAAAAUUCAAAAUACUUAUUUUUAUAUUAAGAGUUAAAUUCUAUUUUCAAUCAUUUUUUUUAUUGUAUGGAAGUUGAAAGUUUAGACGGAUAUAUUUAUGAAAAAUCCAUGAUUUAAAUUAACAUUUUUUAAAAUCUAGAAUUUGAAUUGGUAUAUUUAUACUAAUUGACAGUAAUUUUUUAUUCUACAUACUUCUAACUUUAUGGAUGUCCUCGAAGGGACAUUUGGAUUUAAUUUCUUUUCGUGAUUUUUCAACUUUAAAGUAAUGGAUGCAUAUAUUUAAAAAAAAAGUAGGAUAUAUUUAGUGAGAAAUAACAUAAAUUUGAAAAAAAAAAUUUAAGAAAAAUAAGUUAUAUUUUAUGUUUUUAUAUAUGUAUUUUGAUGGCAGAUUUGAACUAUGAUUUGAUGUCAAAUAUCAAAUUAAAGAAAACAUAGUUAUAUUUGAUUUUUGAAUCUAAUAUAAAAUUUAGAGGAAAAGUUUAAUUUAAACUAUUGUUUAAUAUGUAUAAUUGGUAUUUAUAAAUCAUAAAAGUAAUUGUUAUUUACUAAAUAUUAGAUGAUAAUAAAUUAUUCAUUAAUUUUUGUUAGAUUGUAUUUUGUGUUAAAAAAGUGUAUAACUAUUUUAAUUAAUAUUAUAAUAUAUUGGAGUGUAAACUUUUUUCUACUUUUGAAAAAAACCUCAAUUUAUUACGUAUUCUUAAAUAUAAUAGUUUGUCAAUAGUUAUAAAUAUACUUAUAAUUGUUUAAUAUACUUAUGCAUUUAAAAACUUUAAAUUCAAAAUCAAAACACAAUGAAAAUGAAAAAGUAAAAAAUAUAUUGAUUUGGGAAAAGCAGAAUUUGAAUUGUUGUGUUGUCAAACACAUAUGGUUGAAGCCAAUAAAACUAAAACACAUCAACCAAACGUACAAUUAGACAAUUAUUAAACCAGAUAUUAAAGCUCAAUAUUUAUACGUGUAUAAUUUAAAUGUUAUAACUUAUCUAAAUAUAUUAAUUUAAACUUUUAAAUUUAUACUUUGGUUGAAUACAUUUAACUGUGAGUUUAAAUUGAUAUAAUAAUUAGAUUAGUAUUUAAAUUGAUACAAUUUUGUAUAAAUUGGUAUUUGUCAUACAUUUGAUAUUAUAAAUGUUUGAAUUGGUUAGACCUAAAAACUUCUCAUUUGGACAACAAAAGGAGAAAACCAAGUCCAUACUGACUUAUACUUUAUACAAUAAAUGUGAUGUGUUAGGUAUUGUUAUAAUCCAAAUAUUUAAAUGAGUGGAAGAAAAAGUUUACACAAGUUUAGAAGGUUAUUUAUGACCCGUUUCGGAUAAUAAUUGUCUAAGAUUAUAAUAACCACGUCAUUCUACACUAAAUAUUAAUUUUUAAAUAUCUAAUUAGGCACGGUAAACAUAAUUUCAACACUUUUUAUAUGUUACAAUAAUUAUUAUUUCCUACAAGUUUUACUAUUUUACAUUUGUAAUUUGUUUUUAUUAUUUCUAAAGUGUUCACGGUUUUAUUUUCAAACUAAAACAGUUUACAUUUCAAACACGUAUUACUAUAAUAAAAAAUAUAUAAUAAAUUAUAAAAUAAAUUACAGUUCAAACACAUGUUAUUAUAACCGAAACUAAAAUAAUUUAUAGUUCUAAGUGUAAAUGUUUACAAUCCAACUAUAAUAACCUCCCAAUGUUUCCUCCGUAUUUAUCCCUUAGAUGGUUUCAAACAAAGAUAAAUUGUUAUUUUACAAAAUUAGUGGGGCUUUUUAAAAAAAAUAAUUGAAAAAACAUAUUAUUUACAUCCACUAAGAGAAAAAGAUCCAUUUAACUUGAUUUUCUUUUUGAGAAAGUGUAAAUAUAUUUUGUUAAUCUUCCUAUUUUUUACCAUUUUUCACAUGAAUAAAUUUGUUAAAUAUUGUUUAAUUAAAAUAUUGUAUUAUAUAUAACUCUAUAUGACUUUAGUUUCGAAAGGAGACUAGAUGUAUUGAAUUAAUUUGCUGUUUAUGGAGGAAGGUUUUUGAACAAAUUUAAUCCAUUAGAAAACAAAUGUAUAAAUGAAUUGGAUUGGAAUAUAUCCUCAACUCAAUACAUAUUUUCGGGUUGGUUAGUCUUGCAAGUUUUUAACUCAACCAAUCAAAUAUGAGUUAAACUAGGCUGACUUUAAGUUGUAUUAUAUAUAUUUUUAGCAAAAAAAAAAAAAAACUCUCAUAAUAAUGUUUAACUUUUAUUAAAUAAAUAUAUAUAUAAAUGAAAAUGAGAAGAGUUUUAAAUAACAAAGAAAUUAAAGAACUAACAUAAAAGAAAAACACAAAAUAGAUGAUAAAGAUUAUAUCCAAGUAUGUCUUUCAAUAUUCAUGGUCCAUAGAAGUCGAGAAUUUUCAUCUUCUAAAAGUGUUGAAGGGAAUGAAAGCGAUUCAAACCAAACGGUCCCAACUUAAUGUUUUGCUUGAGCUCCAAUUUGAUACUCUCAACACUAUCAAACUCUUAAAUAUCUUCUAGCGGUGGGUUGACCGAAAAAUAUUUUAGAGUAGCAAAAUCUAACUUCUAUCAUUAAGUGAUAAAUGACGAAAUAAGUCUAUCACUAAAUGAUAUAUUUGUAAGCUCCAUGAACCAGCCUUAAACUGUAGAGAUGGUUACAAUCACACUUGGAUACUUUUAACUCGAUCAAUUAUUCCUUUAUCUUAAUUAAUAUUUAUAAUUGAUGGCAAUUGCAAUCAUAAUAAUCAAAUAUAUAACAACAUUUCAACAAAUUUAUAAAAGUCUACAACGGAUUUUGCUUUAUUUAUAACUUUCUUAAAAUGUUGUUAUAUAGUUAUUACUUUUAAUUUAAUUACUAUAUUUGUAAUUAUCAAAAUUUUAAAUUGUUUGAUAUGAUUUGAUUUCAGAAAGGGAAACUUGUCCUUAUUACAGGAGAAAAAAAACAAAAAAAGGUUUGAAUUUUGUUUACGUUGUGGUUGGGUUUUACCAUAUUAUCCCUUAGGUGUGGUUUCCAAAUCAUUUUCUGCUUCUUUCAAUAUUCGUCUUUGAGCUUUUUUGCUCCUUCUAACGGUAUCUCUUCUUUUACAAUACGUCCUUCUUUCUCUUUUUAAACCAUCAGUUUUUCAAAUCUUACUUCUGAAGCUUUUUCCCAUUCGUCUGUUAAACCCACCGGUUAGCGUUCUACAUCCUUCUAUAAUUCCUUAUUUUUUUUUUGUUAAAUUCAUCAAACAAAUACAAUUUUUUAACAAUUCCUUUCUUUUUUUUUAGCUUCCAGUUUUCUGUUUGGUUUCAAAUAUGUGUAAAAAAUAGAUAACACAUCAUUAUUCAACCAACACUUUGAUUUUUGCUUUUUUUCGUUUGUUACCGUUUUUACGGUUGGACAUAUUCAUCAUUUUUUUUGUAUUAUUUUCUACACACCAAACACAUACUAUUAUAACUCAAACUCAAACUAUUCUAAUCAAAUAACUUACUUAUCGUCCCAAACACCCAAAUUAUCGGUUGAUUUAUUUACGGCCAAAUAAACACAUUUUAGCUUUCCGAGAAUCUCACUGUUCCAUAACUUUUUUUUUUUUUCAUCUGCCCUCCCCUGGAUUCAUUUGAGAAAAAACUUGACUAGCAGUUAAAGGAAUGUCUAGAUCUUGACUCAUAUGUUCCUUUUCUUCUCUUAAAAUGGAAGAACCAAUGGAAGGAAUUCUUUGAAUGAACAUUGAAGAGCUCUCGUUGGCAUUGGUUUCACUAUCUUCAUGCGGCAUUCUAUGAUGAACAUUUUGUUCAAGUUGCAAUGCAUACUCCAAAUCCCACACCACAUCCCCCAUUGCUGGUCUAUUUUCACCAUCGUCUUGUAAGCAUUUUUCUAUUGUUUCACUGAACUUUCUCAAGGAAUUAGGAUCGAUCUGACCCUUUAAUUUUGGGUCGAUGAUCUCUUCAAGCAACUCCAUUUUCUUGCACUUCAAUCCCCAUUCUGCUAGAUUUAUUUGCUCAUUUGGAAGUGUUGGAUUCAAAGCUAGUCUCGCACACAAAACCUCAAGAAGAACUACCCCAAAUGAGUACACAUCAGAUUUCUGUGUCAAUUGUCGUGUUCGAAAAUACUCAGGAUCGAGAUACCCGAUUGUCCCUUUAAUAUCUGUGCUUACAUGAGUUUCAUCCAAGGAACUUGCUGUUGAAAGGCCAAAAUCAGAUACUUUAGCAACAAGGUUCUCAUCAAGCAAAAUGUUAGUUGAUUUCACAUCACGGUGAAUGAUUCCACUGGAUAAGCCUUUGUGUAGGUAAUGCAAGCCUUUAGCUGCACCAAUGCAAAUUUCUAGCCUUUUCUUCCAAGACAAGGGAGGAAAGUUUGAGUUGUAAAGAUGCUCCCUUAGUGUUCCCUUCUCCAAGAAUUCAUAAACCAAAAUCAUCUCAAGCCCUUCAUUGCAGUACCCAAUAAACGAAACGAGAUGCCGAUGUCGAAUUCGUGACAGUAUCGUGAUUUCUCUCUCGAAUUCGGAGAUACCUUGUCCAGCCCCUGGCUGGCUUCUCUUGACAGCUACUCUCAUGCCAUUUCUCAUAACUCCCUUAUAGACUUUCCCAAAACCACCCUCACCAACAAGGAAUUUCUUGUUGAAAUUAUUGGUAGCCGUUUUGAUUUCGGCGAGAGAAAACUUCAACCCAAGAUUCAAGUUGGGGAUGGGGGAGUUGCUUGAGGUUCUCUCAGUAAACUUGCUGUGAGUACUUCCACCUCCAAAUACAGGUAAUGGAUACCAUUUUGUGUGCGUUAUUUGUGAAGCUUUCUCUGAUUUUGGCUUCCUCCAUUUCAGACCAAAAUAGAUCCCAAAGCCUAAAAUACAGAUCAAACCAAAAAUCCCAAAGGCCAAACCCACAAAAACACCCACACGUUUGUUUUUCGUUUCCUUGACGACAGGAUCUUUGGUAUGUUCAUCCAUGGCUUCCAUAAUCUCAACCCCAUUCAAAAAAGCAUUGGACUGUAAUGUAUCUGGAUGAGGACUAACACUGACACUAAUGAACCCAUCUUCACCACAAUUCACCAAGAAAUCUAAAUGAAAUGGAUGAUUAACCAAAUCAGAAGAGCCAGUUUUUUUACUAAACCUAUUGCCAAUAGAAAGAUUGAAGUAAAGAAAACCGUGGGAUGUUUUACCAAUUAGAUCAUAGAAAUGAAGUCGGAGAAGAUGGCGAGUAUGUUUUCUUGAAGGAAAAUGCCAUGUUAUAUUGAUCGAGUUAAGAGAGGAAUUUAUCAAUUCUUUGGCAGUUUGGUAUACGAGUUCAGGCGCAAAAUAAUGGUCGUCUUCAUUCAAGAAUUUCAGUUUUGUUCGAUGAGGAAUGCUGUUUUUUGCAGAGCUCGGAUUCAAUAGAUAAGUGUUGUCCUGUUCUUGUUCCCAUUUACCCCACAGUCCGUCUGUGUCCGGGAGAAUUUCAGGACCUCCCACAUUGAUUCUGUAAAUUGUAUGUAAAACUAGAGAUGGGAAAAUCUUGGACUCACCUUUUUCUCCGGCGAGGGUAAUCACUUUAGCUUUGUCUGGAAUGAAGUUCGGUGGGAUGGGGAACACUUCAAUGGCAUUUACAUAAGCAAUCGAUGAAGAAUUUGGUGAAAAAUAGAUCCGAAAAUUUUCCCCUGAGUUUAAGCACAAGAAGAAUUCCUCAAUUGAGGUAGAAUUGUUACGGAUAUUAGUGGAGUUAAAGUUUCGAAGUAGGAGGAACCCAGAAGCAGAAACGUUGAAAACAGAUGUGGAUAAAUCAGUAGAGAAAUUGAAAGGGGAGAAAUGAAGACGUACAAUAUGAACAGUAUCUUGGUCGACUUCGAAUUCGUAAAAUGAUGGGUCCUUGAAAAUCCUUAUGGAAUCGUACAGAGAUGGAGACUCAGUGGAAUGAUCGACGACUUGACCGGAAUUAUGUGGGAUGAAUCUGAAACUGAUAGUAUUGGUGGUAUUCAAGUCGCCGAUGAAGCUCCGGCCAGCAUUAAAAACAGUGGUCUGUGAUCCACAGUUCACAAAAUACUUAUCUGGGGAAGUGUAUGAUUGAACAUGAAGAGAGAAGAAG